UCCCAUUCAUCUGUGCUGCUUUCUGGAUCAGUUCCCACGCUUCCUCCUUCCUGUCACUGGCCAUCAACCAGCGGGCUGACUUUGGCAACACCCUGAACAUGUGCAGACAAAUUGCUCAGAUCUGGGUCACUCUGCUGCCCACUCACCAGAUGUAGAAGAUGAAGAGGAAACCAGGGACUGAGAUAGCCAGCUGUAGUUUACGCCAGUCUCUUAUGAGAUGGAAUCUUAUUGUUUCACAGUCACCUGCACAAAUGUAUAUUGUUUCCAAUUCUAUGUUUUACCACUGAACUGAAAUGAACCUUUU